rnacentral:rRNA from 1 species
AUCUUGCGCAAUGGGCGAAAGCCUGACGCAGCCAUGCCGCGUGAAUGAUGAAGGUCUUAGGAUUGUAAAAUUCUUUCACCGGGGACGAUAAUGACGGUACCCGGAGAAGAAGCCCCGGUUAACUUCGUGCCAGCAGUCGCGGUAAUACGAAGGGGGCUAGCGUUGCUCGGAAUUACUGGGCGUAAAGGGAGCGUAGGCGGACUGUUUAGUCAGAGGUGAAAGCCCAGGGCUCAACCUUGGAAUUGCCUUUGAUACUGGCAGUCUUGAGUAUGGGAGAGGUGAGUGGAACUCCGAGUGUAGAGGUGAAAUUCGUAGAUAUUCGGAAGAACACCAGUGGCGAAGGCGACUCACUGGCCCAUUACUGACGCUGAGGCUCGAAAGCGUGGGGAGCAAAC